CCAUAUGCUUGUAAAAUAGUAAAAUAAAUACCUAAUAGUACUGUAAAAAAUAAUCCUUGUGUGGCUUGUGAAUGAUUUCCUUCUAUUAAACUAUGGUGUGCUCAUGUAACAGUUACUCCUGAAGCUAAAAGAAUUGCUGUAUUUAGUAAAGGAAUUUGGAAUGGAUUAAAAGGUUUAAUUCCUAUAGGCGGUCAUGACGCUCCUAGUUCAAUAGCGGGUGAUAAACUUCUAUGAAAAAAAGCUCAAAAAAAAAGAUAUUAAAAAUAAUACUUUAGAUAAAAUAAAUAAAAUUAUACCUCAUCGAAGGCCUAAAGUAACAGAAAUAGUAUGUAAUCCUUGAAAUGUACCUUCACGUGAUACAUCUCGUCAUCAUUGAUAAACAGUUAAGAUAGUAAUAAUAUUUCCUAAUACAAAUAAUGAAAUAUCAUAUUGAUGAAAUCAUUUUACUAAAC